AGCGAACGCUGGCGGCAGGCCUAACACAUGCAAGUCGAACGAACCUUUCGGGGUUAGUGGCGGACGGGUGAGUAACAUGUGGGAACGUGCCUUUAGGUUCGGAAUAACUCAGGGAAACUUGUGCUAAUACCGAAUGUGCCCUUCGGGGGAAAGAUUAAUCGCCUUUAGAGCGGCCCGCGUCUGAUUAGCUAGUUGGUUGAGGUAAUGGCUCACCAAGGCGACGAUCAGUAGCUGGUCUGAGAGGAUGAUCAGCCACAUUGGGACUGAGACACAGCCCAAACUCCUACGGGAGGCAGCAGUGGGGAAUCUUGCGCAAUGGGCGAAAGCCUGACGCAGCCAUGCCGCGUGAAUGAUGAAGGUCUUAGGAUUGUAAAAUUCUUUCACCGGGGACGAUAAUGACGGUACCCGGAGAAGAAGCCCCGGCUAACUUCGUG
rnacentral:rRNA from 1 species